rnacentral:rRNA from 1 species
UGGGGAAUAUUGGACAAUGGGCGCAAGCCUGAUCCAGCCAUGCCGCGUGUGUGAAGAAGGCCUUCGGGUUGUAAAGCACUUUUGUUGGGGAAGAAAAGACCGUGGUUAAUAACCGUGGUUCAUGACGGUACCCAAAGAAUAAGCACCGGCUAACUUCGUGCCAGCAGCCGCGGUAAUACGAAGGGUGCAAGCGUUACUCGGAAUUACUGGGCGUAAAGCGUGCGUAGGCGGUUUGUUAAGUCUGUCGUGAAAGCCCCGGGCUCAACCUGGGAAUGGCGGUGGAUACUGGCAGGCUAGAGUACGGUAGAGGAUGGUGGAAUUCCCGGUGUAGCAGUGAAAUGCGUAGAGAUCGGGAGGAACAUCUAUGGCGAAGGCAGCCAUCUGGACCAGUACUGACGCUGAGGCACGAAAGCGUGGGGAGCAAACAGG